AUUAAUUUUCAUGUGGUUGAGUAGGACUACAAAGAGCUGAGAAUGUGUGUGUGUGUGUGUGUGUGUGUUUAUUUUGGACUGACUGGAGUAGAGGCGUGUACUGAAGUGAUGCCAUAGACACUGUCUAUUUUAAGUCAAGAAUCCACGGUUUCCUGUAAACACGUCACAGAAUAGCAGGACAGACGUCCGGAGUGUCUGUGCCGACACUUGAAGUAGUAACAGUGCCGGAGAUAAACAAAAGCUGGUGUGUGUGUGUGUGUGUGUGUGUGUGUGAGAGACACCAAUCACCACAGGGAUUCAAAGAGCAGACAGAAAAAGCAAACCAAAGUCGCUAGCAACAUUCGCGUCACGUUGUUGUGCGUCUUUUCAGGAGAUGCUACGUGCUUCUUACAUCUUCUCUAAAGGUGGAGCUUUUAAUUAAUGCUCAUGCUCAGUGGCACUUUGUCAGAAUAUACGUCAGUCUCGGUGUAAGCCCAGAAAAAGAACAAAGGUUCUCUGACGUAGUUCCAUGGUCACGGAGCAUACGACAAGAGCAGCGUGUGCACAAAUAAAUGCUCUGCAGAUUAGAUCUACAUUUGACAGAAGGUGUUAGCGUCUCUGCCUUAGAACAAAAAUAUCGACGGUUCGCGGGUUCGAUCCUCGAUCUUUCUGAAUGGACUAACAUGCAGAUUAGGCUCGUUUUUUUCACCUUAACCUCGCCGCAGGUGUGAAUGGUUGUUUAUCUCCUGGUAGACUGGAAAAGUGUCCAGGGUGUAGCCCCGCCCCCCUACGCUCCGUAACCCAGAAAAGAAUGAAAUGAUAAAAGAUGAAUGAAUUUCUCACCUGAUUCUAAAUGUCAGCUCGCAUUAUUUUGGUCUCAAUCCCAGGAUUCUUUGCUCUUUCAGUAAAUGAGGACAACACUGUAAAGGUGUCAGGUGUUUUGAAUCUGAUCUAGACUACGUCACCAAAAUGAAUGGAGCACUUUUCUGGCCACUUUGUCCACAGUGGAGUCUGUACAUACACAAAUAUCAAAGUCAAAAUAUUUUUCCUUUAACCCGAGGUGCGGUCGGUCGGACUGGGUGAACGACUGUAACUUACUGAUACAGUUUUCCUGAGUACAUCUGGAGGACUUCCUGUCCGCUGCUACUGUCGUCCACAUAGACACGGUUUUAGGUUUUUUCCAUUUUAGUGACUUUUCUCAGUCAGUCUGGAGUUUUUCUGGAUUGGGCGUGUGUGUGUGUGUGUGUUACAUUGCAGAUCUAGGCCAAGUAGUUUGGGUUCUUUGUUAACUAAGUGCACUGCUAAACUGACAAGUGAGGAAAACUGUCUUCUCGGACUGGACCCCUCCCCCCGGCCCUCCCCCACUCUCUCCCCUCUCAGAAUUAUUCCUGGUGUUUCCAGAGACUUCUUACUUGAUGUUGCUUAAGUAUUACGCAGAAAACCAACUUUUUUUUUUCAGCUCAUUUUGACGGUGAACUUUAUAAACAUUUUUCAUCUUUUUUUCUUUUUCUCUUGUUUUAUUUCAAGAUUUGUUUUUAUAACAUUGAAGCCAAACCGAUGGUUCAGCUGUCGUACACAGAGUCAACACUCGUGCACACGUCAGGACACUUCUGCUGUAUCAGACGCCUGUGUCCGUGAAUUAGCAGCGACUGUUUGUUCCUCUGAUGUAAAUCCUGUCAAAGACGAGUUUAAAGGAAAAACAAAUGUCUGUCGUCGUCACUUCCUGUUCCCAGACCAGUGUACAAUCAACACAACGUUCGUCCACGUGUCCAAAUACAACCCACUGAGUAUAACAACACCUUGUAUAUAGUACUAUAAAUACUGUAACUGAGUAUUUUUAGGCGAGUGAACCCAAUUCUGUGCAUUGUGUGCCUUAUUCACAACAUUUGUAACCAGACCUAGUAACAUUGUCGACGUCCAUUUGUCCUCACGUUGUUGUUGUCAUUUACGAUAUUCCAAUUUUGUUGCAGCAAUUUAAGAAAAUCGUCAAGGACAAGUUUGGUAAUGCUUCACAUUUAGCUCUGCUGUUAGUGGUCGACAAAAGCUGCACUGUAUAAGGAGGAGACGAAGGAGGGCCACGACCAUCAAAUGGUCAUCAGUUCAUGCCCUGGUGGUAGUAACUGAUGGCUUUGUGUCGAAGUUAACACGCUCUCCCCCUGUGUUUGUUUGUUGUUGUUUUUCAGGUUAUAACAUGCAGGAUUGGGUUAAUUGUUCACACUUAAUUGAACAUGAGUGUGAAUUCUUCUUUGUUAAUUUCUGUGUCUCGUGACCAAUAUUUGGGAGUUGUUGUUUUCAAACUGUAAAAGUGCUCAAAAUGUGUUGGAAAUGCAGUGUAACAUGAGACGCCAUGUAAGAAGACAACAGUGUUAAUUCCCACCUCUAAUAUCAUCCUGUAAAAUUAAUCCGAUUAAAUCCAUCAACUGUG